AACGAACGCUGGCGGCAUGCCUAACACAUGCAAGUCGAACGAGACCUUCGGGUCUAGUGGCGCACGGGUGCGUAACGCGUGGGAACCUGCCCUUAGGUUCGGAAUAACUCCCCGAAAGGGGUGCUAAUACCGGAUAAUGUCUUCGGACCAAAGAUUUAUCGCCUUUGGAUGGGCCCGCGUUGGAUUAGCUAGUUGAUAGGGUAAAAGCCUACCAAGGCGACGAUCCAUAGCUGGUCUGAGAGGAUGAUCAGCCACACUGGGACUGAGACACGGCCCAGACCCCUAGGGGAGGGAGCAGUGGGGAAUAUUGGACAAGGGGCGAAAGCCUGAUCCAGAAAUGCCGGGUGAGGUAAGAAGGCUUGAGGGUUGUAAAGCUCUUUUACCCGGGGUGAAAAUGACAGUACCGGGAGAAUAAGCUCCGGCUAACUCCGU
rnacentral:rRNA from 1 species